UUGGCACCUCGAUGUCGGCUCAUCGCAUCCUCCCGCUGGAGCAGGUGGGAAGGGUUGGGCUGUUCGCCCAUUAAAGCGGUACGUGAGCUGGGUUCAGUACGUCGUGAGACAGUACGGUCUCUAUCUACCAUGCCCGUAGGAAGCUUGAGGGGAGUUGACCAUAGUACGAGAGGACCUGGUUGAACGGACCUCCUGUGUACCAGUUGUCCCGCCAGGGGCAGCGCUGGGUAGCGGUGUCCGGUAGGGAUAAACGCUGAAAGCAUCUAAGCGUGAAACCCGCCCCAAGAUGAGGCUUCCCUUCCCCGCAAGGGGACUUAAGGACCCCGGAAGACUACCGGGUUGAUAGGUCGGGCGUGCAAGCCCCGUGAGGGGUGCAGCUAACCGAUACUAAUCGUCCGAGAGGCUUGGCCUU
rnacentral:rRNA from 1 species